rnacentral:rRNA from 1 species
AGGACGAACGCUGGCGGCGUGCUUAACACAUGCAAGUCGAGCGGAAAGGCCCUUCGGGGUACUCGAGCGGCGAACGGGUGAGUAACACGUGGGCAACCUGCCCUUAGCUCUGGGAUAGCUCCGGGAAACCGGAAUUAAUACCGGAUAUGACCUAGGCCGACAUCGGCCGUGGUGGAAAGUUUUUCGGCUAGGGAUGGACUCGCGGCCUAUCAGCUAGUUGGUGGGGUAAUGGCCUACCAAGGCGACGACGGGUAGCCGGCCUGAGAGGGCGACCGGCCACACUGGGACUGAGACACGGCCCAGACUCCUACGGGAGGCAGCAGUGGGGAAUCUUGCGCAAUGGGCGAAAGCCUGACGCAGCGACGCCGCGUGGGGGAUGAAGGCCUUCGGGUUGUAAACCCCUUUCAGCAGGGACGAAGCGAAAGUGACGGUACCUGCAGAAGAAGCGCCGGCUAACUACGCGCCAGCAGCCGC